AACGGGUGGACAAGAGCUUCCCGAACUCCUACGAGACGGCAAUGGCCGUGUGCAAAAGCAUCCAGGAGCCCGUCACCAAGGACAUCCUCUUGGAGUACGUGGACCGCUGUGCUCAAGGAGUCCAAGCACAGAACCGGAAACACCCGCCAGACCCAGACUCUGAGCUAAUGCCCCCUCCUCCUCCAAAGAGACCCAACCGGGCCGCCCCCUAGAACACAGCUCUCACAGUGUGCAUCCACAUCACCAGCCACGUUGACCCCUGACCCCCCCCCUACAGAGAACAGACAUUUGAAGGCAUUCUUACCCUCAGCAAAUUUGUUUUAUCAGCCUGUACAUGCAAGGACUUUGGAAACCUUUGAAUGACUUCAUUAAUUUACCUUGUAGACUUGUUUGUAGCUUUAAUUGCUGGUGUUCUUAUUAAAAUGAAAAACAUGAUACUUUA